rnacentral:rRNA from 1 species
AACGCGAAGAACCUUACCUGAGUUUGAACUGCUGGUGGUAAAACCUCGAAAGGGGAAUAAUCCUGGCUUGCCAGGAAGCCAGCAGAGGUGCUGCAUGGCUGUCGUCAGCUCGUGUCGUGAGAUGUUGGGUUAAGUCCCGCAACGAGCGCAACCCUUGCCUUUAGUUGCCAGCGAGUUAUGUCGGGUACUCUAAGGGGACUGCCUCGGAUAACGGGGGGGAAGGUGGGGAUGACGUCAAGUCAGCAUGGCCUUUAUGUCCAGGGCUACACACGUGCUACAAUGGACGGUACAGAGAGUCGCAAGGCCGCGAGGUGGAGCUAAUCUCUAAAACCGUUCUCAGUUCGGAUCGCAGGCUGCAAUUCGCCUGCGUGAAGUUGGAAUCGCUAGUAAUCGCGGAUCAGCAACGCCGCGGUGAAUACGUUCUCGGGCCUUGUACGCACCGCCCGUCAAGCCACCUGAGUUAAGUGCACCCGAAGUCGCUAGGCUAGCCCUUCGGGGAAGCAGGUGCCGAAGGUAUGGUUGAUGAUUGGGGUGAAGUCGUAACAAGGUAACCUUAAUUAAAA